GUGGGGAAUUUUGGACAAUGGGCGCAAGCCUGAUCCAGCAAUGCCGCGUGCAGGACGAAGGCCUUCGGGUUGUAAACUGCUUUUGUACAGAACGAAAGGGCUCUGGAUAAUACCUGGGGCAGAUGACGGUACUGUAAGAAUAAGCACCGGCUAACUACGUGCCAGCAGCCGCGGUAAUACGUAGGGUGCGAGCGUUAAUCGGAAUUACUGGGCGUAAAGCGUGCGCAGGCGGUUUUGUAAGACCGAUGUGAAAUCCCCGGGCUCAACCUGGGAACUGCAUUGGUGACUGCAAGGCUGGAGUGCGGCAGAGGGGGAUGGAAUUCCGCGUGUAGCAGUGAAAUGCGUAGAUAUGCGGAGGAACACCGAUGGCGAAGGCAAUCCCCUGGGCCUGCACUGACGCUCAUGCACGAAAGCGUGGGGAGCAAACAGGAUUAGAAACCCGUGUAGUCC
rnacentral:rRNA from 1 species